rnacentral:rRNA from 1 species
UACGUAGGGAGCAAGCGUUGUCCGGAAUCAUUGGGCGUAAAGCGCGCGUAGGUGGCCCGGUAAGUCCGCUCUGAAAGUCACAGGCUCAACCUGUGAAAGCGGGUGGAUACUGCCGGGCUAGAGUCCGGAAGAGGCGAGUGGAAUUCCUGGUGUAGCGGUGGAAUGCGCAGAUAUCAGGAGGAACACCAACGGCGAAGGCAGCUCGCUGGGACGGUACCGACGCUGAGACGCGAAAGCGUGGGGAGCGAACAGG